ACCAAUACCGGCCAUUAGAUUAUAUGAAAUUCAACGGCUAAGAUUAAAAUACAAAGCUGCCAAAUACCUCCACUCCAUUCUCACGGGUCCUCCUUUCUCCUUUCUCUUUCUUCCUCUCCACUCUCACAUUCUCUCUCCUCUCCAUUCUCCUCUCCUUUCUCUCUCCUCCUCUCCAUUUUCUUCUCACACAUCUCUCCUCUCAUCAACAUAACAAACACCGGCUACAGCAACCACAGUAACCCACCGAGCAGACCUCACCGAGCAACAACACCAACAACAAACCGACCGAGCAGCCCCCACCACAACAAACCACCGAGCAUCACCGACUCACUGAGCAAGCACCACCAAGCAACAACGCAAUACCAACAACAACACUGACGAGGUGACACCCACUGAGCACCAUCAACGUUUUUCAGAUCUAAUUUUAUUUUAGGCUUUAGAUGCCGUGGUGGUAGAAUAGCAGUGUGGCGGUGGUAGAAUAGCAGAGUGCGGUGGUGGCUUCAGUAGUUUUAAUAUUUAUUCAUUUUAAUUAAAAUGUAAUAUUAUAGCAAUUUAUCAAUGAAAAUAUAUAUUUUUAUACAUAUGUUUAGUUUUUGUAUGAACUUGCUAUUGAAUGAACUUGCGGCAAUUGAUCUA